rnacentral:lncRNA from 1 species
GUCUUUCCUUUUCCAAGGCGAGGAUGGCGCCACUGACUUCUCAGAGGACACACCCCUGGUGCUGGAAUACUACCCCUCCACUUCGGGCAGCGCACCAUGGACCCUCAGCCAGCCCCUGGGCAUCUCCGUGUUGCCCCUGAAGAACCAACUCUAUCAGAAGAUGCUCAAAG